rnacentral:rRNA from 1 species
AACGAACGCUGGCGGCAGGCUUAACACAUGCAAGUCGAGCGCCCCGCAAGGGGAGCGGCAGACGGGUGAGUAACGCGUGGGAAUCUACCCAUCACUACGGAACAACUCCGGGAAACUGGAGCUAAUACCGUAUACGUCCUUCGGGAGAAAGAUUUAUCGGUGAUGGAUGAGCCCGCGUUGGAUUAGCUAGUUGGUGGGGUAAUGGCCCACCAAGGCGACGAUCCAUAGCUGGUCUGAGAGGAUGAUCAGCCACACUGGGACUGAGACACGGCCCAGACUCCUACGGGAGGCAGCAGUGGGGAAUAUUGGACAAUGGGCGCAAGCCUGAUCCAGCCAUGCCGCGUGAGUGAUGAAGGCCCUAGGGUUGUAAAGCUCUUUCACCGGUGAAGAUAAUGACGGUAACCGGAGAAGAAGCCCCGGCUAACUUCGUGCCAGCAGCCGCAGUAA